UAUCUUAAAGUUGCCCAACCCUUCCCGGCCACCUGCAACCCCCGGUUCCCAAUAUCAAUACCCUCUCUCUCUCUCUCUCUCUCUCUCUCUCACCACUAGACCUGGUUUUGGCUCUCUAUUCACAACCACAGCUCCCACCCACGCACACAAACGCAGCUCUCUCUCUCUCUCUCUCUGAGUUAUCUGUUAUGGCUUCCAUAUCUCCUUCGACUCCUCGCAACCUGACCUUUCCAAACCCCAAAUUCCCCUCCUCUCACCCUCUCAAACGACCGUCCCAUCCCUCUCAGAUUCAUUCUCUCUCCUUCUCUCGGUUUUCCGACUCCUACCUCUGCCGUUGCCACCACAAUCCCUCAUCCUCUCCCGACAACUCCACCCAUUGGCGAUGGGACUCUGUGCUCGGCGACGUCGUCAAGACUGCAAUCAAACGGUUCGAUUCCUACUUCAACUCGCAACAGAAAGACGCCGAGGACGUUCGCGAUGGUGAGCUGAGCAAGAGCCGAAAUGCAGAGGUGGAAGUCGAAGAGUGGAAUUGGGAUCGCUGGCGCAAGCAUUUCGACGAAAUCGAUGAAGAGGAGCGUAUGGUCUCCCUUCUGAAGUCACAGUUAGGUCAUGCAGUAUUUAUAGAGGAUUAUGAAGAUGCUGCUAGGCUCAAGGUGGCCAUUGCAGCUGCAGCUACAAAUGAUACUGUUGGCAGAGUGAUAUCUCAUCUGAAUAAAGCUAUAGAGGAAGAGCGUUUCCAGGAUGCAGCUGAUAUACGUGAUAAUGCCUGUGCUGGAUUGGUGGGAUGGUGGGCUGGCAUUUCAAAAAAUGUCAAUGAUCCGCAGGGUCUAAUUAUUCGAAUAACAGCAGAACAUGGAAGAUACGUGGCAAAAAGUUUUAGCCCUCGGCAACUUGCUAUGGCUGCAGCUGGUGUUCCCUUGUUUGAAAUUUUUCUUACAGUGAAUAAGAGAGGUGAAUACAAACAGCAGGCUGUGUACUUAAAGCAGAGGGGGGCUUUUGAAGGUUCUCCAAUAAUACGCUCUAAAGCAUGGGAUGCCACUGCCAGCUUAAAUCCUUUAGACUCAACUGAAGAUAAAAGUGAUCUAUUUGUUGUGAAUACUGAAGAUCCCGAAGAUGGUGAUGAUAAUUCUGAUCUAGCUGAGGGUCUGUCUGGUUUCCAGAACAUAUUGAGGGAUAUGAUUCCUGGUGUCAAGGUCAAGGUUUUAAAAGUGACAACACCAGGGAAGGUAGACAAGAAUUUAAUAUCUAAGGUGAUUGAGCAGAUAAUUGAGGAAGAAGAUGAAGAGAAGGACAAUGGGAUAGAAGGUGUAGAGGCAGAGGACGAAGAUGAUGGGGAAAGUGACCAAGAUACUGAUGAAAUUGAGAUGGAUGAUGAUCCUGGGAUUAUUGAAAGCGAAGAGCACAAUGAAAUUGCCGUUAAAGUUGUUGUAGGUGGUCUUGCACAGAAACUCUCCAACAGUUUGCCUACUAAAGAUUUACUUCGAAUACCUGCUAAGCUGGAGAAGAAGGGGCGUUUGUCAUUUUCCUUCUCUAUAGAGAAAACCAUCAAUGAGCAGGAUUCUGGUGUCAAGGAACGACCUUCAGUAGAUAAAUCAGCUAAGCAUCAACGCAGUAUUGACCAUGUUAUGUUUGAUCUUGCUAAAUUCAUUGGUAGAGAGAAGAUACCCUUAAAGGUUCUCAAAGAUGUUGGUGAAUUAAUAAAUCUCACGCUCAGACAGGCUCAAAAUCAUCAACCACUGUCCGGAUCAACAACCUUCAGUCGCAUUGAAAUACCAGCGACUCCAGAUCCUUUAAAUGGUCUAUACAUUGGUGCACAUGGCCUGUACGCUUCAGAAGUCAUUAAUCUGAGCCGCAAAUUUGGUCAGUGGCAAGAGGAUGGUGGAAAAAAGGAGCCAUCAGAGCUUGAGUUUUAUGAAUAUGUAGAAGCCGUGAAACUUACGGGUGACCCAUACGUACCAGCCGGCAAGGUGGCAUUCCGAGCAAAGGUUGGGAAAAGAUAUCAGCUUCCUCAUAAAGGGAUCAUUCCAGAAGAACUUGGAGUGAGCUUCUUGCGAUCUUGUUGGCUACUCAGAUUGCGCGCUAUAAGGGUCAAGGGAGGCUUGCUGAGCCUGGGUUUCGUAAUCCUCGAUGGGUUGAUGGUGAACUUGUUAUUCUUGAUGGAAAGUACAUUAAAGGGGGGCCUGUUGUUGGAUUUGUGUAUUGGGCCCCUGAAUAUCACUUCUUGGUUUUCUUCAAUAGGCUGAGGCUUCAAGAGUAGAUUUUCAAUGUACAUUCGUUGUUCCAGCUUGUAAAUUCUUUAUUCAGAUUUUGUACGUCCGAAGAUAUCUAUGACUGAAUACCUGGAGUUCUUCAGUCAUCAUGUCCAUGCUUCUCACUCAACUGAUCAAUGCACUUGCAAGCAUUAUGGACUCAGCAAGUGUGGCCAUCAUAUAUUUAAAACACAACGAAUGGCCCCUUCCAUUGCUCCCCCUUUCUGGGCAACCCUUUCAUCAGUGUAUUUUUGAGUAGUUGUAGUGCUGCAUAUCUAUUGUCAAUUAUCAGGGUUUUUGCCUUGUAACUGGAUGCAGUAUAUUUAUCAUAUUCUAACCCGUAGAUGGUCUUAGGAAAUACCUUAACUAGAGAUGUAAAUAUGUGAGGCCUGUUGAUGGCCUUAAUUUUGGGAUGCAGUUCAAUUACAGAAUUCAAGUGGGAAGCAGUCAAAAUUCUUUUUCACAAUUAAUAUUAGAAAUGCACCAUUUACUUCCA